UUUCCGGUUGAUCCUGCCGGCGGCUACCGCUAUUGGAGUUCGAUUAAGCCAUGCGAGUCGAGAGUCUUAGGGACUCGGCGUACCGCUCAGUAACACGUGGGUAACCUGCCCUAUGCUGGGGAAUAACCUCGGGAAACUGAGAAUAAUGCCCCAUAGUUCACUACGCCUGGAACGGUGAGUGGAUGAAAGCUCCGGCGGCAUAGGAUGGGCCUGCGGCGUAUCAGGUCGUAGGGGGUGUAACGUACCCUCUAGCCAUCGACGCGUACGGGUGUUGGGAGACAUAGCCCGGAGAUGGAUUCUGAGACACGAAUCCAGACCCUACGGGGUGCAGCAGGCGCGAAAACUUGGCAAUGCGAGAAAUCGUGACCAGGGAACUCCAAGUGGCUGGGGUAAGACCCAGUCUUUUCUUGACUCUUCAAAGGUCUUGGAAUAAGAGGUGGGUAAGGACGGUGCCAGCCGCCGCGGUAAUACUGGCGCCUCAAGUGGUAGUCGAUUUUAUUGGGCCUAAAACGUCCGUAGCCUGUUUGGUACAUUCGUGGGUAAAUCAACCAGCUCAACUGGUUGAAUUCUGCGAGCACGGCCAGACUUGGGACCGGGAGAGG
rnacentral:rRNA from 1 species